UCUUGAUAAAAUAUGCUAAUUAUUGGGAGCAAAGUCGAAAUUCGAAACUGAUUCACAUUCAUCCCUACUACCCCAAUCGCCAAUUUUAACUCUACCGGGCAGCUUCCCCCUCGCUGCGCCCAACAACCCACUGCCUAAACCAAAAUAUUCAGUGAAGCCGGCUGCCAGUCAAGACAAACUCCGUCCUUCACUUGAGUCGGAUUUGUCAAUAUCUCUCGCUGCUCAGAUCAGUCGCGCUUCUUCAUCAAUCUCCAUAGCUAUCCCUCCGACGUCCUUCAAUCUCCAUAACUGUCUAGAAAGUAGAAAGCUCGAAUCUCCACUUUUUCCCAAAGAAGAAGAAACACAAUCCUUGUUUCACCACUUGAGCAUUAAACCUAAAUUGCCGGGAUUUUUUUUUUUUUUUUUUUUUUUUUUUUUUUUCCAAUAGCUGCUUGAGUUUUAGGGCGGACACUGUUCAGAAUUUGAUAAGCCGGGUAGUAGAAUCUGAUAGAAAUUGACGGCUUUCGUUACUGAAUGAGCCAACUUUGAAUGAGCCAACUUGUGCUUGUUAAGAGGCAUUGAAGACUUCGUUUUUUUGAGUAGUUUGCUGAAACAGUUGACGAUUUGCAAAUUUUUGUAAUGGCUGAGAAAACUAUUGCAAAUUCAAGAUGCAUAUACAUACAUGAGACUGGAAAAUGGCCUUCACAUACAGUUGAUAUUCACCACAUUGUUUAUCAAAAAAAGCGUCGAUGGCAUAUACUUGCGUGCUUCUCGGCUCUUGUUUUACUGCUGAAUACCUUUUAUUUACUACUAGGGCAGGAUAUACAAGUAUCAAUUCUUCUUUUGUACUUGAUAAUUGGUGUUGUACUUAUCAGAUUAUUGCGUCAAAGAGUUGUUGAGAAAGAGUCUGUAGUGAUCAUCCCAGGGUUCGGAGUCCAAAUUGAAACUCUCUAUAAAAGUGGGACAGCUAUUCGUCAUUUUCUCCCUAUUGACAAGAUUUUGAAGCCCAUACUGAAUGAAUGUGUGACGCCAGUUACAUGUUAUUGGAGCUUGGCAUUAUUGUUGCGUGAAGAAGGUGAAUUGAAGCUAAUUUUUAAGGAAUUGCGACCCCCACUUAAGAUGUUGCUACCAGUUUGGAAAGCACUUUGUGCAGCUACAGAUUCCAGUGGAGACUUAGCUGUAUCAUCAAAUUCUCCACCAAAUUUUUUGUAAGCUUGCACUUCUUUCUUAAGAAAAGGAACCCUUAGCUCAUGCAUGCUAGGUGGUUUCAAUCUCGGGCCAUAUUGUGAUUCAAGUUGAGGAAGCUGGUGAGCACAAUGUGAUUCAAGUUGUGACGGAUAAUGCAUCUAAUUAUGUCAAGUCCGGAAAAUUACUUGAGGUCAAAAGACCCCAUCUUUAUUGGACUCUUUGAGCGGCACAUUGCAAUGAUCUAAUGUCGGAAGAUAUUGGAAAAAUCCCCCAUGUAAAGAAUACACUUAAGAAGUGUAUCUACAUUAAUGGUUAUAUAUAUAACAAUAUUCAACUUGUGAUCUUGAUGAGAAAGUUCACAAAUCAAAGAAAUUUGCAUAUACCGGUGGUUACUAGAUUUGCAUCUUCUUUAACAAAAGGGAAAUAUGAGGAAGAAGGUUAUUUCUGCUGAGUGGAAUCAAUCCAAGCUGCUAAAGAAUAUGGGGGAAAAAAGAUAGCAGCUUCCAUUUUGCUACCCAAUUUUUGGAGGAAUGUUCUUUAUGCUCUUAAGUUGGCUAGGCCACUUGUAAAAGUUCUUAGGAUGGUUAUGAAGCCAUGGAUAGGGCUAAGGAGACUUUUUCGAUGACUGAGGAGCAUUACAAGGAGGCUUUUAGUUAUAUUGACAAUAGAUGGAAUUGUCAACUUCACCAUCCUUUGCAUGCGGCUGGUUAUUUUCUAAACCCGUCCAUUUAUUUUGAUAACAAAGAGGUGGCAUGUUGUGAAAAAGUAAGGGAUGGUUUGAUUACAUGCAUGGGAUGGUUUGAUUACAUGCAUGGAAAGGUUGAUUAGAGAAGUGAAAAUUCAAGACAAGAUUCUACUUAAUUUGCGAAAAUACAAAAAUGUUGAGGGUAGCUUUGGAUCACAAACAACCAUUAGACAAAGAAAAAUAAGUCCUCUAGCUAUUAAAAUCAGUUAGUAGCGUAUUUUAUCCUUAUUUUGAUUUUCAUUUGUUUUAAAACAUAAAAUCACAAUGCUUUGAUUUGUAAUAGUUGAUUGGUGGUCUACUUUUGGCGCUUCAACUCCUAAUCACCAAAAAUUUGCUGUGAGGGUUCUUAGUCUCACUUGUAGUGCUACCGGUUGUGAAAGAAAUUGGGGUGUCUUUCAACGUCUUCAUACAAAGAAGAGAAACCGAUGGGCUCAAAGUCAGUUAAAUGAUUUGGUCUACGUGAAAUAUAAUCGUGCUUUGAGACGUCGUUUCAUAAAAAAAGACUCUUCUGAUCCCAUUAUUUUGGUGGAUAUAGAUGAAAGCAAUGAGUGGUUGCUUGGGAGGAUGGAAGAUUCUGAUCAUAAAAUAGAAUUUGUGUUUGGUGAUGAUGAUUUUUAGUGAUAUUGUGCGAGACUAUGAGCCCUAUGUUUUUCUUAGUAGACGUUUUUAUGAUCUUGUGUCCAAAACCUGCUAAUACAUAUCUUCUAUUUACUAAUUCAUUGAUAAAUCUUGGCAAGCAGCCUUAGACCUGGCAAAUAGUUCAAGUGGGUUUGGUUCAGAUUAAGAUUACUUUUGGUUGGGUCGGGUUUCAUUUGAGUUAUGUCAUUUUGGGUUUAAUGGUCAAUUUUAGUUGUUUUGAGUCGGUUCAUCAUUUUAAUUAUGUGCAUAAUAUAGGAGUAAUAAAUAUGUGUAAAUUUUAACUCAGUACAAAAUUAAAUGGGACAAAAACAAUAAACUCAAUAAAACAAAAAUUUAUAAAUGAGUAUAAUUGUUUAUUGGUAUAAUUUUGGUCGGAUCAAGUUUGGAUUUGUCUUAUUUAUUCGGGUGCAGACGAGUUAUUUCAAGUAUGUUUCGUUAAUUUUCUCGAUCAGCUUUAACCUAUAAACUAUUUUAUUAUCUAUUGCAUGCUGAUGCAUCGUCAUACAGUGUUUAACAGGAAGCAUUUGGAGCUGAGCAGAGUUGUUGUUCCACAUGAUUCCGGAACCCACAACGAUCAAGUAACUAAAAACUAAGAGUUGCCAUCGUGUAGGCGGAAGAAACUGAGGCAAACCAUGAAUCCAUAAUCCUUGAACUAAGCCAAUUGUCAAGAUAUGAAUAGUAUUCAGAGGAAAGUUUAGACCAACUCUAAACUUCAACUUUUUCUCUUCCAUUUGGUCUCCUCCAACUAGAUAAAUAUUCACAAUUUCAAAAAUCUAAAUCAAACCAAUGCAACAGAUAAUUAGGUAGGUGCAGGAAUUUGGUGAUCUUUUUUCCUUUGUUUCAGUUGGAAUUUUGUAAUUGUUACUCUUUGUAAUUGAUAUUAAUUAAAUUGGUUUUUCUAUUUGUCGAUUUUUAUUUCUGGUCGUAAGUGUGCCAAUUUUACUAGGAUCCCAAGGUUGUUUUGCGGUGUUUUUUUGUUCAAUGUUUUACGCUGGUACCAUUGAAUAAUUGUUAAUACAGUUUAUAAUAUUUUCGUUACCUUUAGGGGGUGAUUGAUAUUGAAUAAUCCUCCAAUUUUAGUGAAGAAAAGAAGCAGAUUCUUAUUCAACUCCUUCCGUCAAAAAAACAAUACAACAAUUGUUUUUCUAGUGAAGAAGAGAUCAACGUCAGCCCAAAUGGCCUGUAACGAAGCUGAAGUGCAAGACAGGCAAAGUACAUUGCCCGACUCACUUCUUUGCCACAUCCAUUCUUUCCUCCCUACGAAAGAAGCUGCCCAAACUGUUCUAAUUUGAAGAUUUGGCACACUCUGGACUUGGCUUCCUGUUCUUGAUUUGGAUGAGACAAUUUGGUAUAAGCCGCAAGGACUAUGUGCAGAAAGUGAAAAGGUAAAA